AUAUUAUAAAUGCCUUCUUGCGAUUCCCAAGUGUUUAAAACUAUUUAAUUUAAGUCAAAAAAGCAUCAAAAUUGUACUUAUAAAGCAAUAAAAAAUAUAUACGUUUACUACAACCAAAUUAAAGAGAAAAAAAUAUGGCUCAAAUUCUUAUGUUUGCUUCUGCUUUGAUCAUCUUUCUUUCCUUAUUUCUUGUUGUAAACGGCAUAACAAGUACCGUUCCCUGCACGGGUGACCAAGAUUGUAAAGUCCUUACAGGUUAUGUAGGUGAGUGUACUAAUGGCUUUUGUGAGUACUAUAGGCUUUAGGUGUGAUUCACUUGAAUGUGAAGGGAAAGACAUAUCUGCAUGAAUAACCGGAAGAACAAUAAGAGAGCAUGUCUGGAUUUUUUAGUCGUGUUCAUUUAUCUACAAUUUGUUAAUAAAAAAGCUAUUAUUUAUUUUCACUUAUGAAGAUGAUACAUAUGCUUGUAACAAAAAAAUGUAAUAUAUAAUUACAUAAAUUUAUAAUUUUGCUUUACA